rnacentral:rRNA from 1 species
UUGCUUUCUCGAGCGAGUGGCGAACGGGUGAGUAACGCGUGAGGAACCUGCCUCAAAGAGGGGGACAACAGUUGGAAACGACUGCUAAUACCGCAUAAGCCCACGGCUCGGCAUCGAGCAGGGGGAAAAGGAGCAAUCCGCUUUGAGAUGGCCUCGCGUCCGAUUAGCUAGUUGGUGAGGUAACGGCCCACCAAGGCGACGAUCGGUAGCCGGACUGAGAGGUUGAACGGCCACAUUGGGACUGAGACACGGCCCAGACUCCUACGGGAGGCAGCAGUGGGGAAUAUUGCACAAUGGGGGAAACCCUGAUGCAGCGACGCCGCGUGGAGGAAGAAGGUCUUCGGAUUGUAAACUCCUGUUGUUGGGGAAGAUAAUGACGGUACCCAACAAGGAAGUGACGGCUAACUACGUGCCAGCAGCCGCGGUAAAACGUAGGUCACAAGCGUUGUCCGGAAUUACUGGGUGUAAAGGGAGCGCAGGCGGGAAGACAAGUUGGAAGUGAAAUCUAUGGGCUCAACCCAUAAACUGCUUUCAAAACUGUUUUUCUUGAGUAGUGCAGAGGUAGGCGGAAUUCCCGGUGUAGCGGUGGAAUGCGUAGAUAUCGGGAGGAACACCAGUGGCGGAGGCGGCCUACUGGGCACCAACUGACGCUGAGGCUCGAAAGUGUGGGUAGCAAACAGGAUUAGAUACCCUGGUAGUCCACACCGUAAACGAUGAUUACUAGGUUGUGGAGGAUUGACCCAUUCAGUG